GGUGUCAAGUAGCUGACACAAAGCUCCUCUCUGAAGAGUGCGUCUCCCCGCCAGGCAUUCCUGAGUCUAUCCCACAUGUCAAGAACGGGCAGGUAGAACUGAGGAGGGCACAAUGGAACCUUCUGGCAGAUCUUUCAGGUGGAUGCAGGGCUGCCAGGACGUCACCUCAGACUACAUAACCCGAAAGCAGUGCAGUUGUCACGUCGUGUAAAUGGUCCCAAGGAGUCCAGGGCGGGGUUGAGGAAGAAAAUGCGAGUGUCUCCAGUGGCCACCUGGUUGUCGCACACCCCCGGGUUGCCGAAGCCGCCGAUCAUCACCUUGUUGCCGCCGUCCAGGAGGAUCUCACGGUUGACGCUGGUCUUGCCUUUCAAGUAGCGCCACACCCGGACCUUGGAACCAAAGGACGGCAGAAUUCUUUAGAGCAGGGUCUCAAACAUUGGGGUCCCGAAAUUGUCAAUCAUAAAAUGUUAAAAAAUAAAUCGUAUCUACGUAUCUUUUCAUCUCUAGAUCAACUUCAGAUCUAUCUGUCGCUUACACCUUUUUUAUUGUUGUAUGUCCUUGUUUGUCAAAAUCAUGUUUUUUAUGGCAAAAACACAAAAUACCGUAUUUCCUUGAAUUGCCGCCAGGGCGCUAAUUAAUUUAAAACCUCUUCUCACUCCUGCGCUUAUCAAAGGCGUGCGGUAAAAGUAAGCAUGCGCUAAUUAUUUUAAAACCUCUUCUCACUCCGGCACUUACCAAAGGUAUGCAGUAAAAAAUUGAGUGUGAUGUAAGCUUGGACCUUAAAUCCUACGGAAUAGCUCUUAAUCUUCUUCCCUUUAUGCAAUUUCAAAUUACCGGUAUUGAAAUCAGCCUCCUUGAUUUUGAAAAUGAUGACAGGGGAAGUGUCACUCGUGACAUCACGAGUUUGACCAGGCGUUAAUACUAAGCAUGCGCUAAUUAUUUUGGGAAGGGAGUUUGACCCGGCAGCAAUUCAAGGCAGGUGCAUACUAUAUGACCUGCGGCAAUUCAAGGAAAUAUGGUAUGCAAAAUUUUCCCCCUAAACUUUGGUGACAAGGAAAUAAAGUCCAUAAUGCCUAACAA